rnacentral:rRNA from 1 species
UUGGAGGGCAAGUCUGGUGCCAGCAGCCGCGGUAAUUCCAGCUCCAAUAGCGUAUAUUAAAGUUGUUGCAGUUAAAAAGCUCGUAGUUGAAUUUCGGGACCAUCAUGUCGGUCGUGCCUCGGUACGUACUGGCAUUGUUGGUUUCUCCCUUCUGACGAAUCAUGAUGUCAUUUAUUUGGUGUUGUGGGGAAUCAGGACUGUUACUUUGAAAAAAUUAGAGUGUUUAAAGCAGGCUCACGCUUGAAUACAUUAGCAUGGAAUAAUGAAAUAGGACGUUUGAUUCUAUUUUGUUGGUUUCUAGGAUCGACGUAAUGAUUAAUAGGGAUAGUUGGGGGCAUUAGUAUUCAAUUGUCAGAGGUGAAAUUCUUGGAUUUAUUGAAGACUAACUACUGCGAAAGCAUUUGCCAAGGAUGUUUUCAUUAAUCAAGAACGAGAGUUAGGGGAUCGAAGACGAUCAGAUACCGUCGUAGUCUUAACCAUAAACUAUGCCGACUAGGGAUCGGAUGAUGUUAAUUUUUUAAUGACUCAUUCGGCGCCUUACGGGAAACCAAAGUGUUUGGGUUC